CCCUUAGACGUUCUGGGCCGCACGCGCGCUACACUGACCAGUGCAACAAGCAUCCGUCCUUGGCCGACAGGCCCGGGCAAUCUUUGAACGCUGGUCGUGAUGGGGAUAGACUUUUGCAAUUUUUGGUCUUCAACGAGGAAUUCCUAGUAAACGCAAGUCAUCAACUUGCAUUGAUUACGUCCCUGCCCUUUGUACACACCGCCCGUCGCACCUACCGAUUGAAUGGUCCGGUGAAAUCUUCGGAUCUGAGAGAUGUCUGAUUAAUUUCGGACGCCUUUUGGAAAAGUUGUUUAAACCUUACCAUUUAGAGGAAGGUGAAGUCGUAACA
rnacentral:rRNA from 1 species